rnacentral:rRNA from 1 species
CAGAUUGAACGCUGGCGGCAGGCCUAACACAUGCAAGUCGAGCGGAUGAAAGGAGCUUGCUCCUGGAUUCAGCGGCGGACGGGUGAGUAAUGCCUAGGAAUCUGCCUGGUAGUGGGGGACAACGUUUCGAAAGGAACGCUAAUACCGCAUACGUCCUACGGGAGAAAGCAGGGGACCUUCGGGCCUUGCGCUAUCAGAUGAGCCUAGGUCGGAUUAGCUAGUUGGUGAGGUAAUGGCUCACCAAGGCGACGAUCCGUAACUGGUCUGAGAGGAUGAUCAGUCACACUGGAACUGAGACACGGUCCAGACUCCUACGGGAGGCAGCAGUGGGGAAUAUUGGACAAUGGGCGAAAGCCUGAUCCAGCCAUGCCGCGUGUGUGAAGAAGGUCUUCGGAUUGUAAAGCACUUUAAGUUGGGAGGAAGGGUUGUAGAUUAAUACUCUGCAAUUUUGACGUUACCGACAGAAUAAGCACCGGCUAACUCUGUGCCAGC